GGAUUACUCCUUUACGCUUUCGCGUUUGGUUGAUAAAGAUUCGCACCUCUAUCAAACCGGGUAAUCCCACCUCUUGGCAAGACCUGCUGUCAGAUCAAAUCUGAACUACUACAAUUGAUGGCACUGGACCAUAUUCGCGAUUAUUGGACACCCAUGGGGUUUUCACCGCUAGAUCUUUCGCAUACCUCACCCGCCUGGUUU
rnacentral:sRNA from 1 species